rnacentral:rRNA from 1 species
UACGUAGGGGGCGAGCGUUGUCCGGAUUCAUUGGGCGUAAAGAGCUCGUAGGCGGCUUGGCAAGUCGGAUGUGAAAACUCCAGGCUCAACCUGGAGCCGCCAUUCGAUACUGCUAUGGCUAGAGUCCGGUAGGGGAGUGUGGAAUUCCCGGUGUAGCGGUGAAAUGCGCAGAUAUCUGGAGGAACACCGAUGGCGAAGGCAGCACUCUGGGCCGGUACUGACGCUGAGGAGCGAAAGCGUGGGGAGCGAACAGG